CAGUACAACUCAGCUGCUUACAAUUGUUAGCGAUGGUGUACAGAUAAAGCAUUCCCGGUAAGAUCUGAGUCAUCUCAUUGCUUUUAUUUUACUUGGCAUGUAUCGCUUUGCCGUCUGCACCACGCCGUAUGGAUCACGCCGUAUUUGUCGUGAAUGUUGCAUGAUUUCAAGGUGACAUUCAGGUGUAUAAUGUUUCCAUUAGGUUUGAUAGUAACUACACGUACGGAUUUGAAAUACGGUUCUUGCCAGACGCUUAUGAGUUGUGAAGCCGUGCUACAAUGAACUGGUACUUAGUUAAAAGCUUGAUAUUUUUUAUUGCGCAGCCGGCAUUUGGGAUGUGGCUUUGCAUCUCCCUGUGAUGAUGCACGAUCUUUCAUCUUACUAACAAAAACCAAGCGUCUUGGGCAUCGAUUUGGUCACAAGUUGGCGUGCGUGUAUUUGAUAACGACAGCACUUCAGUUCCACGGGGUUGCGGGACCAUGUUACCAUUUUUGUGAAGGGCAUGACGAUACAGUUGAGAUUUCUCAGCGAAAAACUUUCGGCCGACUAAGCCGAGUCAAAGUACCAUUUUUUAGGUUUCUAAUGGGGGUUUAGUUAUCGGGCAAAUAAUCCACGCUCCAAUAUUCCACUUCGUUCGAAGCUUUGGAAAUGGCAGUUCAUGGUUCUGAUAAAAUACAUCGGUGCACAACCGAUACUAAGCAGUUGGGUGUCGCCCUUGAACCCCCAUGCUUCGUCCAUACUUUGCCCAUUGAACUAGUAGCACGUGUUUUCUCUUUCUUGGACAUUUUCGAGAUUUCCGAUUGCUCGAUCGUUUGCAAGCGAUGGAAGGCCAUAGCUCAUUCACCGUCAGUCCAACGAACCAUCGCCAAUGACCUGUUCAAACUGGAAACGUAUGGCUGGAGAGAGUCAAACAAGUCGUCUAGACCGGAUUAUGCUGCUGUGGUGCGCCGCAAGAUUGAGCAACUCGUGACCAGAUUCAUAACUCGGACAUCGCGUACUCUAAUUCUGCGAUGGCCACUGGAGAAAUGCCCACCCGCUGCGGAACUCCGUAUUGAGAAUUGGUUUCACGCGGACUACCCGGACCUCGAUGAAUACACGUGUGUGACCGGCAAAAAUGUCCCCCCUGUCCCCCCGGACAUUUUUGCCGUGUCCCCCCUGCCACCAUCUCCAAAACGGUAACCCUUUGGUCAGAAUGGUGACGUGGGGGACCUACAACAGAAAGCUGAUUUUCAGGUCGAUCGGUGACCUUUGAAAAACUGCCACCAGCGUUACCACAGCGUUACCAGUCCAAAACAGCUAAGAGACAUCAGUCACCCAAGGGACUUUACUGCCGAAAUAAAUUUUCAGGUUUCGGGCAUGGGUGACAUUACUGCCGGAACGAAAUUACUGGUAUCUGGCAUGGGGGACAUUAUUGCCGGAACGAAAUUACUGGUAUCUCGCAUGGAGGGACAUUAUUGCCGGAACAAAUUUAGUGGUGUCCGGCAAGGGGGACAUUAUUGCCGGAACGAAUUUAGUGGUGUCCGGCAUGGGGGACAUUACUGCCGGAACGAAAUUACUAGUAUCCGGCAUGGGGGACAUUAUUGCCGGAACGAAUUCAGUGGUGUCCGGCAUGGGGGACUUAGUGUUCUCCUCUUUUCGAGCCGCAAAGAUAACUUUCGGCACAAAUCUGCUCGUCUCAAACGCAAACAAACACCGCUUCGGUUUUCAAAGAGAAGUUACAAUGGUUUCAGCAGCUAAUAAAAUUGUACACACAGAAAGGAUCCAUCCAACGAGUUUAAGCAGCUUACGGCGCAGUAAGCGGUUUUCGAGAAACAAACAGAAAUUAAACCCGCAUUUUUGGCGAGCUACAAGUUUUUCCUUUUACGCAAAAUCUGAAGUUAAGGCGAAGGAGCCAAAUUUUCAAGGUACCUUACAGGCACCCCUUAAAGCUCCCGUAUAUUUAAGGCACCCCUUUUCCCACCUUGUUUAUUACAGGCAUCCGACCUUUGCAAAUUAGUACAUUAUAAUAUAUAAUAGAUUCACUGUUUUCAGAUUACAAUACAGGUUUAUUUAUAGUAGAUAACAUUAUACUGUAAUAAACAUUAAUUUUUUUGGCGUCGACUUAAGUCUAUCAGGCUUUCCAGCCGAUAAUAGGACGAUUGGCAAAUCAGCCAUUCUAGAACGAAUUGGUACCGCGUCUUCUAUUGUGAGGCAUCCAGAAACUCCUUUUUCAGAUGUGAUGACAGUAUUGUUACUGACUUUUCCGGCGUCACUCAUUACCACGUUCACGAAAGCGUUUGGAUCUUGCACACGUAUUCCUGUUAAAACAUGAUUAACCCUUCCAUCUUCCGUAUGAAGGUUUUCUAUUUUUGUACCUUAAUUUUCUGCCUGAACAUAGGUGAGGAUAUAACAUGGAUGAAAAAAUCCACCGGCCAUUUUUCCGGAGAUUUUUCCGCCUUUCUUCUCUUAGUGGUCCCGGACCGUAUAAUUAUGAACUUUUGGAAAGUGGCGUCAGUAUGUCUUAAAAUCUUUCUCGAAUUCUGCGGAAGAAAGGUCAUCCUUUACGUCAUCGACAUUUUCGAGUGAUAGGGAGAGUAAAUCAGGGGCCAUUGCUUUCGAUGGCCCCGGUGGAGGAGGGCUGAUUGAACCCGCCGUAAUAUGUUAUUUGCCGGUAUUGAACACAAAAUUACUGUUGCAUUCCUAACAUGACUGUGCAGCACAAUUAAUUCACCUUUUGCCCAUAGCAAGUUUUUACGUUUUUACUGUACGUAUAAAAAAACAAAUCAAUGUCGAAAUAUGUAAAUAAUAUUAUUUCACAUUAUAUGUGAUAUAGAAUGGGUGCCUGCUGCCUAUAAUAAACGUUGGCUUAAAGGGUGCCCAUAACGGUUUCCAAUUUUUAAUUCAACUUCGUCUAAAAACUGCAAGGGUAAAUUAAGAAUGCCCGUGCGUAUUCGAUAUUAAGUAAAAUGGGAAAGGAAAUAUUAGGUGGCACUUGAAUUCUAGCAAACAAUUCCUAACUUUCAUUUGACACUCACUUGCAUCUAGCCUGAUACGAUCAUAAUUGAGGUAAUGGCGUUACUCCAGUCGGCAUGCACUUUUUAACUUACAACAGUAUGGUCUCUGGGUGAUGCACCCUGGCCCGAGGUCACAGAUCGCACAACACUUUUUGCAGAAUUUAAUUAACCUCAAGGCACAUUCAUAAUUUUCACCAUGCAAAAUUCCAAUAGGAAAGUUUCAUAAAAGCGCAUUUAUCAACGGAAGUGGAAAUAGUGUGUGUUAAAACGCAUUGCAUACGUUAAUGUAAUAAAUAUGUUUGUAAAACUUCACUGUACCUUGCGCAAGACGACUAAGUUUAAAUCCAUUGAGAAACGUUAGACAACUUCCGUGUAAAAAGGUUUCGGUUACUUUGUGUAUGAAAUUUUGUAUUGUUAAUGGAUUUCUUGAUUUUUUAAGACAAAACCCGUCGUCCGUUUCAGGCUCUGCGCGAAACUAAACCAAGCAACUCAUACUAUUCUUCUUGACAUUUUGUCAAGGUUAAUUAGGUGGUCGUCACACAAUAACGAUGCCGUAAAAAAACCCGCUAACAGUUAUAAAAACAAGCUAACAAAGCCUGCGCUUAACAGCUGAGAGACAGGGUCAUUUUACAAUAUUGGGUACGGGUCUGUACGGUUGCUUACGUGUAAUAACAAAGUUUUGAAAUAUUUGACGCUUUUCACUCGGCAUUAAAGCGGAUCUCGGCACCAGAACAAAACUCACAACUCAAUUCCCAAAAAUUAUGUUUUCUGAAUCCUAACAUAAUAUUGUCCUAAACAGCAAACUGCGGACAGCAACAAAAAUUUCCAUAGAAUGUCCAAGUUAGGACAUUAAGUGGUUCUAUGGGGAUUAAACCAACAGACUAGGACACAACCACCUGAACAAAUAGAACCACAUAGAAUCACAAUAGAACACAUAGAACCGCAAUAGAACCUUCAUAGAACACAAUGGAACCGCGUGCAAAGUCACAACCCGGCAGGCUCCCAUACUAGCCCCCUUUUUUGGCGCCCAUAGAACCACAUAGAACCGCCAUAGAACCACCAUAGAACCACCAUAGAACCACAAUGGAACCACGUACAUAGUCACAACCCGGCAUGCUCCCAUACUAGCCCUUUUUUCUCGCGCCCAUAGAGCCAGAUAGAACCACAAUGGAACCACCAUAGAACCACAAUGGAACCACCAUAGAACCACAAUGGAACCACGUGCAUAGUCACAUUCCGGCAUGCUCCCAUACUAGCCCUCUUUUCUGGCGCCCAUAGAACCACAUAGAACCGCCAUAGAACCUCCAUAGAACCACCAUAGAACCACAAUGGAACCACGUACAUAGUCACAACCCGCCAGGCUCCCAUACUAGCCCUCUUU